GGAUAGGUGGCCGAGCGGUUUAAGGCACUAGUCUUGAAAACUGGCGUACGGUCAACCGUACCGUGGGUUCGAAUCCCACCCUAUCCGCCA
rnacentral:tRNA from 3 species